rnacentral:rRNA from 1 species
UGUCAUGCCAAUGGCAUUGCCCGGUAGCUAAGUGCGGAAGAGAUAAGCGCUGAAAGCAUCUAAGCGCGAAACUUGCCUCGAGAUGAGUCUUCCCUUGGACCUUGAGUCCACUAAAGGAACGUUUAAGACUAAGACGUUGAUAGGCUGGGUGUGUAAGUGCAGCGAUGCAUUGAGCUAACCAGUACUAAUGAACCGUGAGGCUUAACCUUACAACACCGAAGGUGUUUUAG